UUCGAGUAUCUGCUCUCUGUUGCAGCUGUUUUACAUAUACAGAAGCUAAUUUCUUCCUUGAGCAAAUCCCGAGUCAGCUGCGGUGAUGAUUACGUGUUUUAUCGAUGAAGAGCCUAAAGCCUAGACGAGCUUUAAGCUCACGUAACUUGUAGGUGGUGGAGGCAUGUCUCGAGCACAAUUAAGAAUCUGAGCUACACGAUCAGGGGGCAUUGUACCUUCGGGAGGCCAGCUGCUAUGUUGAGAGCAGCACUAGACGAGGCCCACAUAAUGAGGAACUGAAGCUUCCUGCGAAAAGCAAUGUUAAUGGGCUGGGAAGUGGAUCCUCUAGCCCCACUCAAGCCUUCAGAUGACUGCAGCUUCCACCAACAGUCUGAAUGUAACUUCAUGAGAGUCCCAGGACUACCCAGCUAAUAAGCUGCUCCCAAAUCCCUGACUCUCAGAAGCUGCGUGAUAUAAUAAACAUCUCUUGUUUUAAGCUACUCAUUUUGGGGGUAAUUUGUUACACGUCAAUAGAUAACUAAUACAGUAGAGAUAGUAAAGUUGUUUUAAAAUAAAGUUAUAAAGAAGAGUGAUCCAAGAAAACUAUU